GAAAGCGCAUGUGGAGGAUGCCUUGACUGAAGAUGCCUAAGAAGGACGUACGAGGCGACGAUAUGCUUCGGGGAGGUGCCAACGAACCUUUGAUCCGGAGAUUUCCGAAUGGGGAAACCCAUCCCUUUAUGGGAUACACCCUGCUGAACACAUAGGCAGGGCUGAGGCUAGCUUCCGAACUGAAACAUCUUAGUAGGAAGAGGAAAAGAAAGUAAUGAACGAUUCCGUGAGUAGUGGCGAGCGAAAGCGGAUGAGCCUAAACCACGCGUCAUUUAUGUCGCGAUGGGGUUGCAGGGCAGAGACGGGGGUUUACCCCUGGGAGUUAGUAUAAAAUUGGUUUAUAGCUGAAGGUGCCUGGAAAGGUCAGCCAUAGCGGGUGACAGCACCGUAAGCGAAAUAAAUCUGUCUCCUUGGUCUUUGUACCUAAGUACCACAGGGCACGAGAAACCCGGUGGGAAUCUGGGUCGGUCACGACCUAAGGCUAAAUACAUCUUCAGAUCGAUAGUGAACAAGUACCGUGAGGGAAAGGUGAAAAGAACGCCCAUAAGGCGAGUGAAAUAGUACCUGAAACCACAAUGCGUACAAGAUGUCGGAGCCCUAUGAUCCGUAGCAAUAUGGAUAAUGGGUGACGGCGUGCCUUUUGUAGAAUGAGCCAACGAGUUAGCUGUGUAUGGCGAGGUUAAGUGCGUGAGCACGGAGCCGUAGUGAAAGCGAGGCCUAAAUGGUCGUCCUAGUCGUACACACUAGACCCGAAACCAGGUGAUCUACCCAUGGCCAGGGUGAAGCCCCCUUAAAAAGGGGUGGAGGCCCGCACCCGGCAACGUUGUAAAGUUGCGGGAUGAGCUGUGGAUAGCGCAAAUAUUGCAAUCGAACCUGGAAAUAGCUGGUUCUCCUCGAAAUAUAUAUAGGUAUAGCCUGCUGUGCUGAUACAGAGAGGUAGAGCUCUGGUAGGGCUAUUGAGCCGUGAGGUUCGAAAACCCUGAUAAACUUCGAAUUCUUUGUAAUGUAGCAGCAGAGUCAGACGGUGGGGGCUAAGCUUCAUCGUCGAGAGGGAAACAACCCAGACCAUCGGCUAAGGUCCCAAAUUGAUAGUUAAGUGGAAAAGGAAGUGAAUCUCCCAAAACAACCAGGAUGUUGGCUCAGAAGCAGCCAUCAUUUAAAGAGUGCGUAAUAGCUCACUGGUCUAGUUAAGGAGGUUUGCGCCGAAAAUGUAACGGGGCUCAAACUAUCAACCGAAGCCAUGGACUUGCGCCUUUAGGCGUGAGUGGUAGAGGAGCGUUCCAUACUGCAGUGAAGCCGUACCGUAAGGAGCGGUGGAGCGGAUGGAAGUGAGAAUGUUGGCAUGAGUAACGAAUUAUCCAGGCGAGAAACCUGGACACCGCAAGAGCAAGGUUUCCUGGGCAACGAUAAUCGUCCCAGGGUUAGGCGGUCCUAAGCCGAGGCGUACAAGCGUAGGCGAUGGACAGCAGGUUGAUAUUCCUGCCCUUGUGCUGUUUUGGUUGGCGUGACGCCCUCGAGGGGCCUAUUGAAGCGCAUGGUUGCUGAUAUAGGUGAGUAGGGGGACAAGAAAAGCGUCCAACCGUUAAGGCAGUACAAUCCGUACCGCAAACCGACGCAGGUGCUCGAGUCGAGUAGACUCAGGUGAUCGGAAGAACCCUCGUUAAGGAACUCGGCAAAAUAGCGUCCGUAAGUUCGCAAUAAGGACUGUCCCGAUGUAAAAAUUGGGAUUACAACAAAAGAGAUCAAGCGACUGUUUAGCAAAAACUUAGCUCCCUGCCAAAGCGAAAGCUGAUGUAUAGGGAGUGAUGCCUGCCCAAUGCCCGAAGGUCAAGGGGCGGAGUGAUUGUGCUGAGGACUGAGAGAAGAGCAUAUUGUCAGAAAACGUGAUUCAAGAUGAAAAUUUUGUUUAUACGGGCCCUGCUGUAUCAACCUCUUCUUUCAUUCCUCAGUAUAUGAGCUCUAAACUUAAGCCCGGGUGAAUGGCGGCCGUAACUAUAACGGUCCUAUGGUAGCGAAAUUCCUUGUCGGGUAAGUUCCGACCCGCACGAAUGGCAUAACGGUCUUGAUCACUGUCUCAACGAGGGAUCCGGUGAAAUUACAAUCUCGGUAAAGAUGCCGAGUACCCGCAUCAAGACGGAAAGACCCCGUGGAGCUUUACUACAUCCUGGCAUUGGCUCACGGACACAUUUGCGUAGAAUAAGUGGUAGCCUUUGAACCAUCCCUUUUGGGGGAUGGGGAGGCGACAGUGAAAUACCACCCUAGUGUGUUUGUGAUUCUAACCCUUGACCUUGAAACAGGUCUUUGAGGGAACAGUGUUUGGUGGGUAGUUUAACUGGGGCGGUUGCCUCCCAAAUGGUAACGGAGGCGUACAAAGGUCAGCUAGUUCCGGAUGGAAAUCGGAACGAUAGCGCAAAAGCAUAUGCUGGCUUAACUGUGAGGCCUACAAGCCGAACAGAUAGGAAACUAGGUUUUAGUGAACUGCUGCUCUUGAGUGAUUUAGGCAGCAAUCAACGGAUAAAAGUUACCCCGGGGAUAACAGGCUGAUCGCAUCCAAGAGAUCACUUCGACGAUGCGGUUUGGCACCUUAACACAUUGGGGUGCUACAGGAGCAAUCCUGUACCAAAUCCUUUGUUUUCCACAAAACAGAGGGCAAAAAUUCGGCUUAUAACGGUGAAACCCGACUAUACAUUUACGGUUUUUGUUUGGUAUGAUGUAAUGUAUAAGGGCAAUACCGUGGGAAGUCUAUCUUUAGCACAGAACGCGAUUCUAAUUGGCAGUUUGUUGGGCGAUGGCACGCUUCGGAGACAAGGCACACGGACGAACGCCUUAUUCGAAGU
rnacentral:rRNA from 1 species